rnacentral:misc_RNA from 1 species
ACAAAAUCAAUAAAGAUUCACCCAUGGAAUAUGCAGCCACAAUCACUGUUAAUCCUUUGACUGCUUUAAGAAUGCUCGAAGACUUCACUACUCUAAAUUCAGGAGAUUCUAUCGUGCAAAAUGGGGCUACAAGUAUUGUAGGACAGUGUGUCAUCCAGAUUGCAAAAUUUCGUGGCAUCCAUAGCAUUAAUAUUUUAAGGGACAGGCCCGGGUCAGAUGAAGCAAGGGAAAUGUUAAAAAAACUAGGUGCUGAUGAAGUGUUUACUGAGAGCCA